rnacentral:rRNA from 1 species
AGCGGCGGACGGGUGAGUAAUGCCUAGGAAUCUGCCUGGUAGUGGGGGAUAACGCUCGGAAACGGACGCUAAUACCGCAUACGUCCUACGGGAGAAAGCAGGGGACCUUCGGGCCUUGCGCUAUCAGAUGAGCCUAGGUCGGAUUAGCUAGUUGGUGAGGUAAUGGCUCACCAAGGCGACGAUCCGUAACUGGUCUGAGAGGAUGAUCAGUCACACUGGAACUGAGACACGGUCCAGACUCCUACGGGAGGCAGCAGUGGGGAAUAUUGGACAAUGGGCGAAAGCCUGAUCCAGCCAUGCCGCGUGUGUGAAGAAGGUCUUCGGAUUGUAAAGCACUUUAAGUUGGGAGGAAGGGCAUUAACCUAAUACGUAAGUGUUUUGACGUUACCG